UGGGCGCAAGCCUGAUGCAGCCAUGCCGCGUGUGUGAAGAAGGCCUUCGGGUUGUAAAGCACUUUCAGUCGUGAGGAAGGUGGUGUAGUUAAUAGCUGCAUCAUUUGACGUUAGCGACAGAAGAAGCACCGGCUAACUCCGUGCCAGCAGCCGCGGUAAUACGGAGGGUGCGAGCGUUAAUCGGAAUUACUGGGCGUAAAGCGCAUGCAGGUGGUUUGUUAAGUCAGAUGUGAAAGCCCGGGGCUCAACCUCGGAAUAGCAUUUGAAACUGGCAGACUAGAGUACUGUAGAGGGGGGUAGAAUUUCAGGUGUAGCGGUGAAAUGCGUAGAGAUCUGAAGGAAUACCGGUGGCGAAGGCGGCCCCCUGGACAGAUACUGACACUCAGAUGCGAAAGCGUGGGGAGCAAACAGGAUUAGAUACCCUGGUAGUCCACGCCGUAAACGAUGUCUACUUGGAGGUUGUGGCCUUGAGCCGUGGCUUUCGGAGCUAACGCGUUAAGUAGACCGCCUGGG
rnacentral:rRNA from 1 species